rnacentral:rRNA from 1 species
GACGAACGCUGGCGGUGUGCUUAACACAUGCAAGUCGAACGGUAAGGCCCUUUCGGGGGUACACGAGUGGCGAACGGGUGAGUAACACGUGAGUAACCUGCCCUCAUCUCUGGGAUAACAGUCGGAAACGGUUGCUAAUACUGGAUAUGAGCUUGCAAGGCAUCUUGUGGGUUGGAAAGAUUUUUUUGGUUGGGGAUGGACUCGCGGCCUAUCAGCUUGUUGGUGAGGUAGUGGCUCACCAAGGCUUCGACGGGUAGCCGGCCUGAGAGGGCGACCGGCCACAUUGGGACUGAGAUACGGCCCAAACUCCUACGGGAGGCAGCAGUGGGGAAUAUUGCACAAUGGACGGAAGUCUGAUGCAGCAACGCCGCGUGCGGGAUGACGGCCUUCGGGUUGUAAACCGCUUUCAGUUGUGACGAAGCUUUUUGUGACGGUAGCAGUAGAAGAAGCACCGGCUAACUACGUG